rnacentral:rRNA from 1 species
GGGUCAGUAGGUUGGUCGUGCCACCGGUACGUACUGGUCUCACUGAUUCCUCCUUCCUGAAGAACCGUAACGCCAUUAAUUUGGUGUUGCUGGGAAACAGGACUGCUACUUUGAAAAAAUUAGAGUGUUUAAAGCAAGCUAACGCUUGAAUACAUUAGCACGGAAUAAUGAAAUAGGACGAUCGAUCCUAUUUUGUUGGUUUCUAGGAUUGACGUA